rnacentral:rRNA from 1 species
CCACGCCCUAAACGAUGUCUACUAGUUGUCGGGUCUUAAUUGACUUGGUAACGCAGCUAACGCGUGAAGUAGACCGCCUGGGGAGUACGGUCGCAAGAUUAAAACUCAAAGGAAUUGACGGGGACCCGCACAAGCGGUGGAUGAUGUGGAUUAAUUCGAUGCAACGCGAAAAACCUUACCUACCCUUGACAUGUCAGGAAUCCUGGAGAGAUCCGGGAGUGCCCGAAAGGGAACCUGAACACAGGUGCUGCAUGGCUGU